AGCAGCCGCGGUAAUUCCAGCUCCAAUAGCGUAUAUUAAAGUUGUUGCAGUUAAAAAGCUCGUAGUUGAAUUUCGGGGUCAGCAGGUCGGUCGUGCCAAUGGUAUGCACUGGCCUUGCUGAUUCCUCCCUCUUGAUGAGCCGUAAUGCCAUUAAUUUGGUGUUGCGGGGAAUCAGGACUGUUACUUUGAAAAAAUUAGAGUGUUUAAAGCAGGCAAGCGCUUGAAUACAUUAGCAUGGAAUAAUGAAAUAGGACGUUUGAUCCUAUUUUGUUGGUUUCUAGGAUUGACGUAAUGAUUAAUAGGGAUAGUUGGGGGCAUUAGUAUUCAAUUGUCAGAGGUGAAAUUCUUGGAUUUAUUGAAGACUAACUACUGCGAAAGCAUUUGCCAAGGAUGUUUUCAUUAAUCAAGAACGAAAGUUAGGGGAUCGAAGACGAUCAGAUACCGUCGUAGUCUUAACCAUAAACUAUGCCGACUAGGGAUCGGAUGAUGUUAAUUUUUUAAUGACU
rnacentral:rRNA from 1 species